GGGUCCCACCCGACAGGCCCAGGCGAGGCCCCGGGAGGUGGAGCCCACGGCGACGCAAACGGAGCAGCCGGGACAGCGCCAGCGAGCAUGGCGGUCGGUGGACAAGGCUCGCCUCCGGUGGCCUGGAAGGGCCACAUAGAGAUGCGCCCUGACCAUGGGUUGGCAAAGGACGGCCAGGGAGAGCCCCGUGGAGGCGCCGGUGUGCCCGCACCGCGCCCCCCACCA
rnacentral:lncRNA from 1 species